rnacentral:rRNA from 1 species
CGCAGCCGCGGUAAUUCCAGCUCCAAUAGCGUAUAUUAAAGUUGUUGCAGUUAAAAAGCCCGUAGUUGAAUUUCGGGGUCAGUAGGUUGGUCAUGCCACUGGUAUGUACUGGCCUCACUGAUUCCUCCUUCCUGAUGAGCCGUAAUGCCAUUAAUUUGGUGUUGCGAGGAAUCUGGACUGUUACUUUGAAAAAUUAGAGUGUUUAAAGCAGGCUAACGCUUGAAUACAUUAGCAUGGAAUAAUGAAAUAGGACGUUCGAUCUUAUUUUGUUGGUUUCUAAGAUUGACGUAAUGAUUAAUAGGGAUAGUUGGGGGCAUUAGUAUUCAAUUGUCAGAGGUGAAAUUCUUGGAUUUAUUGAAGACUAACUACUGCGAAAGCAUUUGCCAAGGAUGUUUUCAUUAAUCAAGAACGAAAGUUAGGGGAUCGAAGACGAUCAGAUACCGUCGUAGUCUUAACCAUAAACUAUGCCGACUAGGGAUCGGAUGAUGUUAAUUUUUAAUGACUCA